AAUGUUUUUCUCCUGGUUCUGAUUUCCUUUAUUAGUUUAGCACUGCUGAGAAGUGUGGUUUAAAAAGCUCCUUUUGCUCUGUAUUUCAUUUAUAGUCUCAGCCAAGUGAUUUUAUGAGAAUUUUCUGAGCACAAGACUGAGCUUGCUUCUCUAGAAAGACGUGGCCCCUACCCUUCACUUGACAGCUAACUGUCCUUGGGUUUCAAUAAGGGACUUAGAUGUUCCUGGCAUUAAGCUGUAAGGAUUUUCAUGAUAUAAUAAUUACUUGAAGCAUUUAAGUUUAUUUGACUAACACUGCAAUCUAAUCUAGAACUAACAAAAUGUUCAGUAGAAGUGAAGACAGAGAUAUGGCUUUAAACUCUCCAUCCUUAUAAUUUCAGUGUGUUACACAACUGACUUGGUGAAUGAUUAUGUUCUUUUAAUAAAUAUCCUAUGCCUAAUUUUGGCACCUUUGAUUAAUAACAUAUACAGUGCAUUUAACUUGUGUUUACUUUUGAAUAAAAGACCUCAGGAGUCUGGCCGGGUUCUAGCUCAGUUAAUAAUUCUCAUCGUUCCAGAUAUUUCCCAGCACUGCCCUGUGAACUUCUUACCCGGGGCUGCCUUGCGGAAGGGCCACGUGUGACUUGACAGCCCUCCCUGUGGACAUGGACACUGGUCGGAGCCCGUUUUUGCUGUUCACCAUGAAUUCUGAAAACAACCUGAAUAAUGAGGAUGUGCAGAAAUCCCACCACGGGGCACACGGCUCUCCGCACCUCCGGCUGCCGUCCUGCGGCCUUCAUGCUCAGCAGCUGAGCCGUGACACAAGAGACCGAAGAAACCAGCUUCUCGGCUCACAGAAGAUAAACUGAUACCUUAGGAGCACCUCGUCCCAUUAGAGCACACCGAAUUGUUUUCAUCUAAUCUCACCCCAGCCGCCUGUGGAGUACAUCAGUUCUCUGCCAGUCUGCUCUUUAAACAGAGAGCUAUUUACCGGAUUGCCAGACCGGAGAACUCUGCCACCGCCAACUUCAAGCCACAGAGCGCCGUGCGACAGGGCAGGGCCUUCUGCUCUCCCAGUAAGGGGCUUCGCCCCCACCUCUGCACAGGGCAGGGGGCUUGGGGAGUGCAUAGCUCUUGCAGUGGGAAGCCUCCCGCCCGCCUCCCUGGGAUACACAGCUGCCUGCAGCAGGUGAUGGUGAGGACGCCCGUCGUCCAGGAGUCCGCUUCCCUCCUCACCUUCAGUUGGGUUUGUAUCCAGUGAACCAAUUUUGCGGGCUGGGUCAGGAAGGCAAGCGGCCCUAUGCACUCAGUUAGAAACAAGGCCACAUGACUUUAACGCGACACUGCUCACAUUUGGUUUCACCUGGCAGAACUGCAAAAGCAAGCUGGUCUCAGCGCUGCAGCCUGGCAAAGGAGCGUCAUUCAGUAGACAGAAGGCCAGCAGGGGAGCUGUACACCAGACGUCACAAGUGUGGCCCCACCUCUACACCUCAAGGCCGUGAGGCUGACCAGACGGGCCAGCUUCGGACCUGGGGCCAAAGGUGAGGCGCGGCCGGAGGCGAGUGUCACCCGCUGCUGCGGCUAUGCCAGCGCUUCACUCUCUUCUGUCUUCAGGUGGAUGUUCACUUGCCUGCCUUCUGCUGUCACCCCCUCUCCUCCAUAUGAUAAGGGAUGCAUUUAUUUGUGUUUUCCUUUGUAGUUUUCGGAUCCCUGUAAAUACGAGUCAUGUAAUGUCUUACAUUUUCUUUCAGACACAUUUCUUUCUUAUUUCACCCUAUCCCUUAUAUGUGAUUACAUUAAAGUAAGUUUUGCUUAUUGUUUCA